rnacentral:rRNA from 1 species
UACAGAGGGUGCGAGCGUUAAUCGGAAUUAUUGGGCGUAAAGAGCUCGUAGGUGGCUUGUUGCGUCUGCCGUGAAAGCCCGUGGCUUAACUACGGGUCUGCGGUGGAUACGGGCAGGCUAGAGGCUGGUAGGGGCAAGCGGAAUUCCUGGUGUAGCGGUGAAAUGCGCAGAUAUCAGGAGGAACACCGGUGGCGAAGGCGGCUUGCUGGGCCAGUUCUGACGCUGAGGAGCGAAAGCGUGGGGAGCGAACAGG